rnacentral:lncRNA from 1 species
AGACUGUGGGCAAAGGUACCAUGAAGUGUUGUGGAGAGGAGGGUCACUAACUCCAGGCGGGGCUGCUAAGUUUGUUACAAAGAGGCAAGACUAGAAUAUGUUUCCACUUUGGUGAGUGGAAACCUAAUCAUUCAUAGGUAUCCUGUACACACAGAACAACUGUGAUGAAGAGUGAGGCCUAAAUCAGAGGAGACGAGGAUAAUAAUAGUAGUAGUAGUGGUCAUGAUGAUAAUAAUAACUACCAGACAUGAAGAUUAACCACGCCUAGCAUUGUGCUAAACAUCUCACUUCUUUCAUUUAAUCCUUACAAUAAUCCAAUGAUGUGGCUGCUAUUAUUUUUAUUAUACAGAUGAGGAAACUGAGGCCUUGAGAGGUAUACUGCUUUGCCAAAGUCAUACAAAUGGUAAGUGCAGAAUCAGGAUCUGAAUUCUGGCAGUCUGACUGCAGAGCCCACGCCGACGCUGUGGAAGCUGGCGAUGCCCAUUAGGCCCUAUCUGGGCAUGAAGAGGAUGUCCUCCCUCAUGAGCUGGAACACAGCAUCCCCUGUUGUGGGUGUGGCUCUCUUAAAGACCAUCUGGUGAAUUUUGCUUGUGCUGGUUUCUUAUUCAACAACCUUCAGAUUUGGCUUCACGUGCAACUCACAUAGAAGGAAAGGAGGCCAUGAUCCACCGACAUGACAGCUGUAUUUUUCAUGAGUAAAUUAGCAAACUGGCUGCCUGGGUCCCCAAGCGUACCUGUUAAGGUGAGCCCACCCUAGAGCUAAAGGCUACCAUGUGCCAACUUAACUGAGAUUCUGAGUGUGCAAGGAUAACCCCGGUCAUGGCCCCGGGUGCCAAGGAAAUCCCUUUUAGCCUCCUCUUGGCAAACUUGGCCAGCCUUCCCCAGUGACAGCCUGGCUGUUUGGAUUCAAGCUGCCCGGUCAGACUGCAAGGGUCAUCUGUGUGAAGAAGGAAUCAACAGUGCCAGGUUCCAGUGUGCAUUCCAAGUUCCACAUUCUGUGUGCAGACUCCCAGCGCCAGAGCAAAGGCAGGCCCCCUGGCAGGAGACUUCUGAGAAAGUGGAAUUCCAGAGACACUCCUGAAAUUGUCCUAAGUUAAAGGAGCCAGUGUGCCAGCUCCCUCUCUGC